GAUGAACGCUGACAGAAUGCUUAACACAUGCAAGUCAACUUGAAUUUGGGUUUUUAUCUUAGGUUUGGGUGGCGGACGGGUGAGUAACGCGUAAAGAACUUGCCUCCCAGCUAGGGACAACAUUUGGAAACGAAUGCUAAUACCUAAUAUUAUGAUAAUAGGGCCUCCUAUAAUUAUGAAAGCUAUAACCGCUGUGAGAGAGCUUUGCGUCCCAUUAGCUAGUUGGGGAGGUAACGGCUCACCAAGGCGAUGAUGGGUAGCCGGCCUGAGAGGGUGAUCGGCAAAUAGGGAACUGGGAAACGCCCCUUACUCUUACGGGAGACAGCGGUGGGAAAUAUUGAACAAUGGAGCGAGAGUCUGAUCGCGCCAUUCUGUGUGCGCUAUGGAGUUUUUCGGAAUGUAAAGUUCUUUCAGUUGGGGAGAAACAAAUGACGGUACCAACAGAAGAAGUAACGGCUAAAUACGUG
rnacentral:rRNA from 1 species